CAAUAGCGUAUAUUUAAGUUGUUGCAGUUAAAAAGCUCGUAGUCGGAUUUUGGCUGAGAACGAUCGGUCCGCCGUUAGGUGUGCACUGAUUGGUCUCAGCUUCCUGGUGAGGAGGUGUGCUUCACGGCCACUUAGUCACCGUGGUUACUUUGAAAAAAUUAGAGUGUUCAAAGCGGGCUUACGCUUGAAUAUAUUAGCAUGGAAUAACACCAUAGGACUCCUGUCCUAUUUCGUUGGUCUCGGGAUGGGAGUAAUGAUUAAGAGGAACAGUUGGGGGCAUUCGUAUUUCAUUGUCAGAGGUGAAAUUCUUGGAUUUAUGAAAGACGAACUUCUGCGAAAGCAUUUGCCAAGGAUGUUUUCAUUGA
rnacentral:rRNA from 1 species